rfam:Camelus ferus unplaced genomic scaffold scaffold1581, whole genome shotgun sequence.
GAGGGUAUAGCUCAGUGGUAGAGUACACGCCUAGCAUGCAUGAGGUCCUGGGUUCAGUCCCCAGUACCUCCA